rnacentral:rRNA from 1 species
UUCUUGGCGAGUUUGAUCCUGGCUCAGAGCGAACGCUGGCGGCGUACUUAACACAUGCAAGUCGAACGGGGAGUGUCGGUGUAGCAAUACAUCGGCGCUUCGAGUGGCGCACGGGUGAGUAACACGUGGGUAACCUGCCCUUGAGUUCGGGAUACCCUCUCGAAAGGGAGGCUAAUACCGGAUACGUUCCUCGGGUCGCAAGACUUGGGGAGGAAAGGUAGCGCAAGCUGCCGCUCUUGGAGGGGCUCGCGGCCUAUCAGCUAGUUGGUGAGGUAACGGCUCACCAAGGCGACGACGGGUAGCUGGUCUGAGAGGACGACCAGCCACACGGGGACUGAGACACGGCCCCGACUCCUACGGGAGGCAGCAGUGGGGAAUUUUCCGCAAUGGGCGAAAGCCUGACGGAGUGACGCCGCGUGGGGGACGAAGGCCUUCGGGUUGUAAACCCCUGUCAGAGGGAAAGAAGGGUUCGGGCGUGAAUAGCGCUCGGAUCUGACGGUACCUUCAGAGGAAGCCCCGGCCAACUCUGUGCCAGCAGCCGCGGUAAGACAGAGGGGGCAAGCGUUGCUCGGAAUCACUGGGCGUAAAGGGCGCGUAGGCGGGAUGGUAAGUCGGUCGUGAAAUCCCUCGGCUCAACUGAGGGGGGUCGGCCGAUACUGCCGUUCUUGAGGGAUGCAGAGGAGACUGGAAUUCCCGGUGUAGCGGUGAAAUGUGUAGAGAUCGGGAGGAACACCGGUGGCGAAGGCGGGUCUCUGGGCAUUUCCUGACGCUGAGGCGCGAAAGCGUGGGGAGCAAACGGGAUUAGAUACCCCGGUAGUCCAC